UGGCCCCUCCUGGCUGGGCAGCUCUGCCGAGUCCAGGCCCCCUCUCUCCUGGGUUUGCUGUCCCCUCUGCUCUCAGUCUCCUCUUCCCUGUGCCCCCCCUGCCCCUCUCUGGCCCCUGGUUCCUUCACUCACAGGUUGGCCCUGCUCUGGGAGUGGGCUACUCAGAGCCCUGGUGUCCCUGAGGCCCUGUCCCUGCUCGAGAGACGGCCACCCUUGAGAGGAACUCCUGUGCAGCCCCCGGGCUCAGCGAGGCUCCAAUGGGAGGGGCUCGGAGACAGGAGCGAUCUGCCUGGCAAGAGCUGAGGAGCCAGGAGACGCUCGGCCCCCGCUUGGCCCUGCUGCCAACAUGGGCUCGGCCGCGGGAACCGACCCUCCAGCCGCGGAGCUUCUCACCCCCACGAUGGCGUCACAGGACCCGCCUCCCAGGGCCUCUCUUCUUGUUGUGACAUUUUUAUUGAGACAUAAUUCACACACGUGACAUCCAC